rnacentral:misc_RNA from 1 species
AAAUGCGAUAAGUAAUGUGAAUUGCAGAAUUCAGUGAAUCAUCGAAUCUUUGAACGCACAUUGCGCCCGCCAGUAUUCUGGCGGGUAUGCCUGUUCGAGCGUCAUUACAACCCUCAGGCCCCCGGGCCUGGCGUUGGGGAUCGGCGGAAGCCCCCUGCGGGCACAACGCCGUCCCCCAAAUACAGUGGCGGUCCCGCCGCAGCUUCCAUUGCGUAGUAGCUAACACCUCGCAACUGGAGAGCGGCGCGGCCACGCCGUAAAACACCCAACUUCUGAAUGUUGACCUCGAAUCAGGUAGGAAUACCCGCUGAACUUAAGC